rnacentral:rRNA from 1 species
ACGCUCGACACCUACGGGAGCAGCAGUGGGGAAUAUUGCACAAUGGGGGAAACCCUGAUGCAGCGACGCCGCGUGAAGGAAGAAGUAUCUCGGUAUGUAAACUUCUAUCAGCAGGGAAGAAAAUGACGGUACCUGACUAAGAAGCCCCGGCUAACUACGUGCCAGCAGCUGCGGUAAUCUGAGCGGGCUGGCAAGGC